rnacentral:rRNA from 1 species
GAUGAACGCUGGCGGCGUGCCUAAUACAUGCAAGUCGAGCGAACAGACGAGUAGCUUUCUUCUCUGAUGUUAACGGCGGAAGGGUGAGUAACCCCUGGAUAACCUACCUCCCUGCCUGGGGUAAAUUCCGGGAACCGGAGCUAAUUCCGGAUGAUUUUUUGUCCCUCAUGUUUCAAACGUGAAAGACGGUCUUGCUUUCACUUAUAGAUUGCUCCGCGCUGCAUUAGCUAGUUGUUAAGGUAAGGGCUUACCAAGGCCACGAUGGAUAGCCGACCUGAGAGGGUGAGCAGACACACUGGAACUGAGACACGGUCCAGACACCUACGGGGGGCAGCAGUAGGGAAUCUUCCGCAAUGGGGGAAAGACUGACGGAGCAACGCGGCGGGAGGGAUGAAGGUCUUAGGAUCUUAAAACUCUGUUAUUAGGGAAGAACAUAUGUGUAAGUAACUGUGCACAUCUUGACGGUACCUAAACAGAAAGCCACGGCUAACUACGUG